rnacentral:misc_RNA from 1 species
GAUGAAGAACGUAGUGAAAUGCGAUAAGUAAUGCGAAUUGCAGAAUUCAGUGAGUCAUCGAAUCUUUGAACGCACAUUGCGCCCGCCAGUAUUCUGGCGGGCAUGCCUGUCUGAGCGUCAUUUCAACCCUCAUGCCCCUAGGGCGUGGUGUUGGGGAUCGGCCAAAGCCCGCGAGGGACGGCCGGCCCCUAAAUCUAGUGGCGGACCCGUCGUGGCCUCCUCUGCGAAGUAGUGAUAUUCCGCAUCGGAGAGCGACGAGCCCCUGCCGUUAAACCCCCAACUUUCCAAGGUUGACCUCAGAUCAGGUAGGAAUACCCGCUGAACUUAAGCAUAUCAAUAAGCGGAGGA